CGUCCAAGUCAGGGAAGCUGUGGGGCUCCAGAAGCUGAACUUUGAUUCCUCCCCUGAGAGAAACAAGCAACCCUGAGAGGCACAUGGCAUGAGGCUGCUCUCGGGGAGCACAGCAAAACAAGAUUUGCGGCCAGAGAGUGGAAUGGAGGGUCAGCUCUGUUGCUCUUUCCAUGCAAGUGCACCCCCCACGCAGGCAGCUUUUAUUGAGUGCCAUUGUGUGCCAGACCCUCGCAGCACGUGGAGUCUCCGCAGGACCACCUGGAAGCUUUCAAACACCUGAGGCCAGGCCCACCCCAUCCCACACAGCAGAAUCUCCGGUUGCGGAGGCGGCAUCUCAGGCCUUGGAGAUGCUGCAGGGCAGCUGUGUGUAAGACUCACUGGGCUAGAGGGCGUGAGACAGGGUCAUGCAGGUCCGACGGUGACUCCUACCAGCAGCUGAGAUGGCCCAGCGGGUCCCACACUACAGAUAGAGAAACUGAGGCCAGAGGAGCUGCGGGGGAGGUCAGGGUGACUCUGCCUUCCUCCCACAUCCAUGCACUCUCUUUUUCCCUGUACUUGCAGUUUUACCUUUUUUUUUUUUUUG
rnacentral:lncRNA from 1 species